GCCAAGAAGGCCAAUGGCAUCCUGGCUUGCAUCAGAAAAAGUGUUGCCAGCAGGAACAGGGAAGUGAUUGUCCCCCUGUACUCAGCACUGGUGAGGCUGCACCUUGAGUAUUGUGUUCAGUUUUGGGCCCCUACUGCAAGAAAGACAUUGAGGCCCUGGAGCAGGUUCAAAGAAGGGCAACAAAGCUGGAGCACAGGACUUAUGAGGAGAAGCUGAAGGAGCUGGGAUUUUUCGGUCUGGAGAAGAGGAGGCUCAGGGGAGACCUUAUUGCUCUCUAUAACUACCCUCAUGGGGGGCUUCAACUUCCCUGACAUAUGCUGGGAAUUCAACGCAGCGCAGAAGCAGCAGUCUAGGAGGUUUCUGGAGUGUAUGGAGGAUAACUUUCUGAUGCAGCUGGUGAGAGAGCCUACGAGAGGAGCUGCCCCGCUAGACCUGCUGUUCACAAACAGAGAAGGUCUGGUGGAAGAUGUGGAGGUUGGGGUCUGUCUUGGACAGAAUGACCAUGAGAUGGUGGAGUUCUCGAUUCUUGGUGGAGCCAGGAGGAAGAACAGCAAAACUGUUACCUUGGACUUCCGGAGGGCGGACUUUGAAUUGUUUAGAAGACUAGUAGGGGGAGUCCCCUGGGAUUCAGUCUUAGAGGGUAAAGGGGUCCAAGACAACUGGUUGCUCUUCAAGAAGGUAGUCUUACAGGCACAGGAGUGGGCUGUCCCCCUGAGCUGCAAAAUGAGCCGGCGGGGAAGGAGACCGGCGUGGAUGAAUAGGGAACUAUUCUUGAGGCUCCGGGAGAAAAAGAGAAUCUACCUCCUGUGGAAGAAGGGACGGGCAACUCAGAAAGAGUACAGAGAAGUUGUUAAGAUGUGCAGGGAGAAAAUCAGAAAGGCGAAAGCCCAGCUCGAACUCAACCUGGCCGCUGGGAUAAAAAGAAACAAGAAAUCCUUUUACAAAUAUAUCAACAGUAAGAGGAGGACUAAGGAGAAUCUCCAUUCCUUACUGGAUGAGGCUGGGAAUGUGACUACUGACGAUAAGGAAAAGGCAGAGGUCCUGAAUGCCUUCUUUACGUCUGUCUUUAAAGGUCAGACCAGUUAUCCUCAGGAUGCUCCACUUUUUGACCUGGUAGUCUCGGCUGGGGAGCAGACUAAACCACCCACGAUUCAGAAGGAAACAGUCAGAGACCUGCUACUCCAACUGGACUGUCACAAGUCCAUGGGGCCGGAUGAGAUUCACCCGAGAGUGCUGAGGGAACUGGCGGAGGUGAUAGCCGAGCCGCUUUCCAUCAUCUAUCAGCGCUCCUUGUUAACAGGUGAAGUACCAGAAGACUGGAGGCUUGCCAAUGUGACUCCCAUCUACAAGAAGGGCUGUAAGGAGGACCCGGGGAACUACAGGCCUGUUAGCCUGACCUCGGUGCCAGGGAAGGUUAUGGAACAGAUUGUCUUGAGGGAGAUCACGCGGCAAGUGCAGGACAACUGGGGGAUCAGGCCUAGCCAGCAUGGGUUCACGAAGGGUAGGUCCUGCUUGACCAACCUGAUCUCCUUCUAUGAUCUAGUGACCCACCUGGUGGAUGAGGC
rnacentral:lncRNA from 1 species